AACGCACCUUGCACCCUUUGGUAUUCCGAAGGGUACACCCGUUUGAGUGUCAUUGUAAUCUCACUACAACCGUCUUUUUGUUGUGUUGUAUGUGGACUUGGAUGUUGCCGUGUAACAAAUGGCUCAUCUGAAAUGCCUGAGUGUACCCUGCUUUGCGGCGUAUUCGGUGUGAUAAAUCUUCACCGGAGUUUGACUCUUGGGUCACGUCCGCUUGACAUGGCUCUAUGCUUCCAACCGUCCUGACAAGACAAUCUUUGACAAUUUGACCUCAAAUCGGGUGGGACUACCCGCUGAACUUAA
rnacentral:misc_RNA from 1 species